rnacentral:rRNA from 1 species
GACGAACGCUGGCGGCGUGCUUAACACAUGCAAGUCGAACGGAAAGGCCCUGCUUUUGUGGGGUGCUCGAGUGGCGAACGGGUGAGUAACACGUGAGUAACCUGCCCUUGACUUUGGGAUAACUUCAGGAAACUGGGGCUAAUACCGGAUAGGAGCUCCUGCUGCAUGGUGGGGGUUGGAAAGUUUCGGCGGUUGGGGAUGGACUCGCGGCUUAUCAGCUUGUUGGUGGGGUAGUGGCUUACCAAGGCUUUGACGGGUAGCCGGCCUGAGAGGGUGACCGGCCACAUUGGGACUGAGAUACGGCCCAGAAUCCUACGGGAGGCAGCAGUGGGGAAUAUUGCACAAUGGGCGGAAGCCUGAUGCAGCAACGCCGCGUGCGGGAUGACGGCCUUCGGGUUGUAAACCGCUUUAGCCUGUGACGAAGCGUGAGUGACGGUAAUGGGUAAAGAAGCACCGGCUAACUACGUG